ensembl:lncRNA
GGAAAAUGGAGUGGGUGUGUGUGAAGCACGAUUUGGCACUUAUCAUGCUACCCUUUUUUUUCUCUACAGAGAUGCCAAGGAUAUUCUAGAGGAAUUCUAAACAAAGAGCCAAGUGUUCAAGUUCAUGCCUACAUUAUUACACGUUUUAUCCUUUCCUAAAAAUUUUGAAGCGCAUGAUGAGAAGUGAUAAAAAUAACUGUCACACAGCUGGUAUACACUGAAAGCCCACUGCAUGCCACACUGCAUCUAGACACCAGGGUAAAGCAGGAAACGAGACAGCUACCUGAACAUCCUCCAUUUCCGGUGCUUUCUUUCUAGUGUUGGUGUGAGGCAUUUUAACCAAGAUCAAAUAAA